GCCCGGGUGGUGGAAUUGGUAGACACGCAGGACUUAAAAUCCUGUGGCCCUUAAAGCCGUACGGGUUCGAUUCCCGUCCCGGGU
rnacentral:tRNA from 1 species